CCCUGCAUGCUUCCCUGGAUUUUCCUGGGCCCUGUACUAUGAAUUUUAUGUGUGUGAUUGCCUAACCCCAGACAGUGUUCACCCUAAGGACACAGUGUCUGCCAAAAGGCCUGAGGGGCAGCAGACAGAAUGACAGAAAAGAAGAUAAGCUGCAGUGACCUCCCUCAUCUUCUCCUCCCC